UGGCGAACGGGGUGAGUAACACGUGGGCAACCUGCCCAAAAGAGGGGGAUAACACUUGGAAACAGGUGCUAAUACCGCAUAACCAUAGUUACCGCAUGGUAACUGUGUAAAAGGUGGCUAUGCUACCGCUUUUGGAUGGGCCCGCGGCGCAUUAGCUAGUUGGUGGGGUAAAGGCUUACCAAGGCAAUGAUGCGUAGCCGAACUGAGAGGUUGAUCGGCCACAUUGGGACUGAGACACGGCCCAAACUCCUACGGAAGGCAGCAG
rnacentral:rRNA from 1 species